GACGAACGCUGGCGGCGUGCUUAACACAUGCAAGUCGAACGCUGAAGCACCAGCUUGCUGGUGUGGAUGAGUGGCGAAAGGGUGAGUAAUACGUGAGUAACCUGCCCUUGACUCUGGGAUAAGCCCGGGAAACUGGGUCUAAUACUGGAUGCUACAUGUCACCGCAUGGUGGUGUGUGGAAAGGGUUUACUGGUCUUGGAUGGGCUCACGGCCUAUCAGCUUGUUGGUGAGGUAAUGGCUCACCACGGCGACGACGGGUAGCCGGCCUGAGAGGGUGACCGGCCACACUGGGACUGAGACACGGCCCAGACUCCUACGGGAGGCAGCAGUGGGGAAUAUUGCACAAUGGGCGAAAGCCUGAUGCAGCGGCGCCGCGUGAGGGAUGACGGCCUUCGGGUUGUAAACCUCUUUCAGCAGGGAAGAAGCCACAAGUGACGGUACCUGCAGAAGAAGCGCCGGCUAACUACGUG
rnacentral:rRNA from 1 species